UGGGUGAUCUGCCUUGCACUUCGGGAUAAGCCUGGGAAACUGGGUCUAAUACCGGAUAUGACCACGGAAUGCAUGUUCUGUGGUGGAAAGAUUUAUCGGUGCGAGAUGGGCCCGCGGCCUAUCAGCUUGUUGGUGAGGUAACGGCUCACCAAGGCGACGACGGGUAGCCGACCUGAGAGGGUGACCGGCCACACUGGGACUGAGACACGGCCCAGACUCCUACGGGAGGCAGCAGUGGGGAAUAUUGCACAAUGGGGCGCAAGCCUGAUGCAGCGACGCCGCGUGCGGGGAUGACCGGCCUUCGGGUUGUAAACCGCUUUUGACAGGGACGAAGCGCAAGUGACUGUACCUGUA
rnacentral:rRNA from 1 species